CUCUUUCCCAAAGAAUUUGAUCCUGUAAUAGGAAAUAUAGGGUUGCCACUGCAUUCUACACCUCGUUUAAACUCUGCAGGACACAGCCACAAAUAUUAUACACACAGGAGGCUUUUUCUAUCAUGUAGAUACAUUCCAAGCAUGUCUCCACACACACGUUACAUGAACCACCUAGAUCCAAUUCAGUUUCAGCUCAGCUUGUUUGAAGUAUGAUUCAACUGACUG
rnacentral:misc_RNA from 1 species